UUGCAGGUCUGCCAACUUGAGCACCAGCUUUUUGAUCAUUUUUUCCCAUCUUCUUCUGAGGAUGUGUCAAGUUUGGCUCCUUUGAUAGAUCCGCUGUGCACAUAUUUAUAUGACACACUACGCCCAAAAUUAAUCCAUGAAGCAAAUCUUGAUUUUCUUUGUGAGCUUGUUGAUAUCCUUAAAGUUGAAGUCCUGGAUGAACAACUUAGCAGACGGAGUGAGUCAUUGGCAGGGUUACGUCCUACAUUACAUAGAAUCCUAGCUGAUGUUCAUGAGAGAUUGACUUUCCGGGCUCGAACACAUAUCCGUGAUGAGGCUGGGCCAAAUCCUGGC